GACAGCAGCCGCCGCGGUAAUACGGAGGGUGCAAGCGUUAAUCGGAAUUACUGGGCGUAAAGCGCACGCAGGCGGUCUGUCAAGUCAGAUGUGAAAUCCCCGGGCUUAACCUGGGAACUGCAUUUGAAACUGUCAGGCUGGAGUCUUGUAGAGGGGGGUAGAAUUCCAGGUGUAGCGGUGAAAUGCGUAGAGAUCUGGAGGAAUACCGGUGGCGAAGGCGGCCCCCUGGACAAAGACUGACGCUCAGGUGCGAAAGCGUGGGGAGCAAACAGGAUUAGAUACCCCAGUUAGUCCCUGUCUCUUAUA
rnacentral:rRNA from 1 species